UUACUAACAAUUCAGUUUUGCAUUGCUUAAACAAAAGAGGAUAAAGUUUCUCUAAAACAGUAAAUGAAAUAUGUCCAAGUCUCCUAUGCUAAUGAAUAAUUUCGUCCUCAGCACCCAUAGACUGUCCCAACAUGGCCUGAUCAACACAAUCAUUAAAUAGAUAUAGUCCAUCUUGCAGUCUACCACUAUCAAUCGUUCUUCCUGUUAUCAACUCCUGAAACACAUAGUGAGUGGGAAAAAAUUCAAUUUGGCAGUUGAGAGCUUUUGUGAUAG
rnacentral:misc_RNA from 1 species